rnacentral:misc_RNA from 1 species
UAAAGAAGUUACAUAAAAUAUAAUAGCUUUAGUGAUAAUUUCAAAAAAUACGUUGUGGUUUUGCAAUUUAUCACUUAAGGGGAAAAAAAGUCUGUUAUUCAUCAAAUAGGUACACUGUGGUUUCGUGAUCUUACUUUGUCCCUUACUCCAUCUAACACCAUUAGUCAUCCGUAAUUAAAUUAAGUGGAUGCCACGUUAGCAUGCGGUUGACAGGAGGAGGGACAAAGUAAUGGCACAAAACCACAUGGUACCUAUUUGACAAAAAGCAAGCUUUUAUCCCUUAAGUGAUAAAGUGCAAAAUCAUACUUUUUUGAAAUUAUCACACAGCUUUAUUAUAUGAAAUCACAAUAGAACAUUGCCAAUGUUUGAAUUAAAAAAGGAAAAAUUCAUAGCAUAUUUCUUUGGAAAGAAAAUCUGUUUCCUUGAUUACAAAUUGAAUGUCAUCUAUAAGCAAGAAAAAUGAAAGUUUCUUGUCCUAGACAUUUACCAUUUUUAAUUAAUAAACUUUAAAAAAAAAA